UUGAACGCUGGCGGCAUGCUUUACACAUGCAAGUCGAACGGUAACAGCACUUCGGUGGCUGACGAGUGGCGAACGGGUGAGUAAUACAUCGGAACGUGCCUAGUAGUGGGGGAUAACUACUCGAAAGAGUAGCUAAUACCGCAUGAGAUCUAAGGAUGAAAGCAGGGGACCUUCGGGCCUUGCGCUACUGAGCGGCUGAUGGCAGAUUAGGUAGUUGGUGGGAUAAAAGCUUACCAAGCCGACGAUCUGUAGCUGGUCUGAGAGGACGACCAGCCACACUGGGACUGAGACACGGCCCAGACUCCUACGGGAGGCAGCAGUGGGGAAUUUUGGACAAUGGGCGCAAGCCUGAUCCAGCAAUGCCGCGUGCAGGAUGAAGGCCUUCGGGUUGUAAACUGCUUUUGUACGGAACGAAAAGCCCUCUUCUAAUACAGGAGGGUCAUGACGGUACCGUAAGAAUAAGCACCGGCUAACUACGU
rnacentral:rRNA from 1 species